GCCGCAGAUCAGAGGUCCUGCCGACGAGCGUCCCCACCCGGCCUCCGGAGCCGUGUGCGCAGGUUCGAAUCCUGCCGGGGGCA
rnacentral:tRNA from 1 species